rnacentral:tRNA from 1 species
CGCAACGUAGCUUAGUUGGCAAAGCACACGACCGAUAAUCGUGGGAGCGAAAGUUCGAUUCUUUCCGUUGCGA